UACAGAGGGGGCAAGCGUUGUUCGGAAUUACUGGGCGUAAAGGGCGCGUAGGCGGCCCGCUAAGUCGAACGUGAAAUCCCCGAGCUCAACUCGGGAACUGCGUCCGAUACUGGUGGGCUUGAAUCCGGGAGAGGGAUGCGGAAUUCCAGGUGUAGCGGUGAAAUGCGCAGAUAUCAGGAGGAACACCGGUGGCGAAGGCGGGUCUCUGGGCAACAACUGACGCUGAGGAGCGAAAGCGUGGGGAGCGAACAGG
rnacentral:rRNA from 1 species